rnacentral:misc_RNA from 1 species
GGUUUCAGAUUGAUCGAGUAAUUUAAAGUUCAUCGACAGAUCUAGACACUAGUCAAGAGAGGGCGGAAGAAACCAUUGAUGACAUAGCAAACCAUGGAUAAUACUUCUACAAAACAAACUAUUGCCGAAACCCUAUGUUUAUUGCUGCUUCAUUCAUCUAGAGAUGUGAAAUUGAACACUCUAUAUCCAAUGACAUAAUCGAGCCUCGUUAACCAAUUUGUUCCACAAGCGGCAAACCAAAAUUUAAACAACUAAAAUGGCAAUGGUAUUGCAUCAGACUUUGACUUCUUAGACCAUCUCACACAUAUUAGGCAACAGCUGAAAAGUACUCUUUGCUACCCUUGGGGUCUGGCUUCAUCGACUUCUCCCCGGGUUUCCAUCCAGCAGGGCAGACUUCGUCGGGGUUCUCCUGCACGUAUUGUAAGGCUUGGAGAGUUCUCUUCGUCUCGUCAACACUCCG